rnacentral:rRNA from 1 species
GACGAACGCUGGCGGCGUGCUUAACACAUGCAAGUCGAACGGAAAGGCCCUGCUUUUGUGGGGUGCUCGAGUGGCGAACGGGUGAGUAACACGUGAGUAACCUGCCCGUGACUUUGGGAUAACUUCAGGAAACUGGGGCUAAUACCGGAUAGGAGCUCCUGCUGCAUGGUGGGGGUUGGAAAGUUUCGGCGGUUGGGGAUGGACUCGCGGCUUAUCAGCUUGUUGGUGGGGUAGUGGCUUACCAAGGCUUUGACGGGUAGCCGGCCUGAGAGGGUGACCGGCCACAUUGGGACUGAGAUACGGCCCAGACUCCUACGGGAGGCAGCAGUGGGGAAUAUUGCACAAUGGGCGGAAGCCUGAUGCAGCAACGCCGCGUGCGGGAUGACGGCCUUCGGGUUGUAAACCGCUUUCGCCUGUGACGAAGCGUGAGUGACGGUAAUUGGUAAAGAAGCACCGGCUAACUACGUG